rnacentral:rRNA from 1 species
UACGGGGGGGGCAAGCGUUGUUCGGAAUUACUGGGCGUAAAGGGCGCGUAGGCGGCCUACUAAGUCGGACGUGAAAUCCCUCGGCUCAACCGAGGAACUGCGUCCGAUACUGGCAGGCUGGAAUCCGGGAGAGGGAUGUGGAAUUCCAGGUGUAGCGGUGAAAUGCGUAGAUAUCUGGAGGAACACCGGUGGCGUAGGCGGCAUCCUGGACCGGUAUUGACGCUGAGGCGCGAAAGCUAGGGGAGCAAACGGG